UGAGGAACAUGACCUUCGGCGGGGGAUAGCCGGCCCAACGGCCGGGUAAUACCGCGUACGACCACUCGGGGACAUCCCCAGGUGGUGAAAGCAGCAAUGCGCCGAUGGAGUGCCUCGCGGCCUAUCAGCUAGUUGGUGGGGUAACGGCUCACCAAGGCAACGACGGGUAGCUGGU
rnacentral:rRNA from 1 species